GACUCCUACGGGGGGCAGCAGUGGGGGAUAUUGCACAAUGGGGGAAACCCUGAUGCAGCGACGCCGCGUGGGUGAAGAAGCGCCUCGGCGCGUAAAGCCCUGUCAGCAGGGAAGAAAAUGACGGUACCUGAAGAAGAAGCCCCGGCUAACUACGUGCCAGCAGCCGCGGUAAUACGUAGGGGGCAAGCGUUAUCCGGAUUUACUGGGUGUAAAGGGAGCGUAGACGGUAUGGCAAGUCUGAAGUGAAAGCCCAGGGCUUAACCCUGGGACUGCUUUGGAAACUGUUAGACUAGAGUGCUGGAGAG
rnacentral:rRNA from 1 species